CGAGACGGCACCGUAAAACGAAAACCCUCGUCUCCGAGCUGUGUCUAUAAGAGGGAAAAAGAGUUUCGCCUUUCAUCCAAGCUUCGGUGGAGAGGAUCGCGGGGAAUGGCUACGAAUCUCGCUCGCCUGGUCCGCCGACCCGCGGCCACAUUAUUUCUCUUGAGAAGUUACAGGCAUGUCAGACACUUUAGCCAUCAUAUAUUUCCAGGUGAUCUUGUUUAUUUAUUAUCUUAAGCAUAUUUUGUUGAUAAUGUUAAAAACUGAGAAUCUUACAUCAUGUUUCAUUUCAGGUGGUGUGGUCUGCUCGAAACCUAGAAGGGAUCUUAUCGAGUUCCUCCCAAAAGCCUCUCCUUACCAAAUAUGGAGUAGGUCAUUGGCUGCUGACAGUGGCGACCUAGUCGAUGCUGUUGUUCCUUUCAUGGGUGAAUCUAUAACUGAUGGAACUUUAGCAACCUUCUUAAAGAAGCCUGGUGACAGGGUUGAAGUUGAUGAGCCAAUCGCGCAAGUUGAGACUGAUAAGGUGACCAUUGAUGUUGCUAGUCCUGAAGCUGGGAUAAUCCAAAAGUUUGUAGCCGAGGAAGGUGCUACUGUGACACCAGGAACCAAGGUUGCUGUUAUAUCAAAAUCUGCUUCCAGUGACACACAUGUUGCUCCAUCAGAGGAGAAAGCAGGUAAAGAUGCCCCACAGCCAUCUCCUCCUGCAAAAGAGAAGAAGAUGGAGAAAGAAACGCUAAAAGCAGAAGCUCCAAUCAAAGAAAAGCCAAAAGCAUCUUCUCCUUCAUACCCUAAAACUUCAGCUUCAGAACCUCAGCUUCCUCCCAAGGAAAGGGAAAGAAGAGUUCCCAUGCCGAGACUAAGGAAAAGAGUUGCCGUGCGUUUGAAGGAUUCUCAGAACACAUUUGCUAUGCUAACUACAUUCAAUGAAGUUGAUAUGACAAAUCUAAUGAAGCUUCGCUCAGACUAUAAAGAUGCCUUUCUCGAAAAGCAUGGUGUGAAGUUGGGGCUGAUGUCAGGCUUCGUUAAAGCUGCUGUUUCUGGGCUUCAAAACCAGCCAAUCAUUAAUGCAGUAAUUGAUGGGGAUGAUAUCAUAUACAGGGACUACAUUGAUAUCAGUAUUGCUGUUGGCACACCUAAGGGCCUUGUGGUUCCAGUUGUCCGGAAUGCUGAUGAGAUGAAUUUUGCGGGAAUAGAGAAAGAGAUUAAUAACCUUGCAAAGAAGGCAAAUAAUGGGACAAUAUCAAUUGAUGAGAUGGCUGGAGGUACAUUUACAAUAUCUAAUGGUGGUGUCUACGGAAGCCUUCUGAGCACGCCCAUCAUCAACCCCCCACAAUCUGCCAUCUUAGGUAUGCACUCUAUUGUGUCUCGUCCAAUGGUGGUUGACGGCAACAUUGUUCCAAGGCCAAUCAUGUACAUUGCGCUGACUUACGAUCAUAGAUUGAUUGAUGGAAGAGAGGCUGUUCUAUUCCUGCGGCGUAUUAAAGAUGUGGUUGAAGACCCUCGCAGGCUUCUCCUUGACUUGUAGGCACAUCCUACUGGCAAUGACUGUUGGACCCUUUUCCAUACCUGUUACCAAAUAAUUUCCUUCUGAAACUACAAUUUUGUGUUUCAUUUGGCUUACAUUACGGGAGUUGUUCUGCAAUCAUGUUGUAUUUUAGCAACUACUUUGAGCUGUAUGACUGGAGAUACAAGGGAAGGAUGCGAAGAACAUGCUCCCCUUCGUUCCACUCCAGUUUGGGUUACUUUGACCUCAUCUAUUUCACCUGAUGUUUUUAUUGGCAACACCUGCAAGUUAUUGCAUUGUAGAUCUUGAGUUGUCUGUGUGAGUAUUAACAGGUACCGCCUUUACCAAGCUGACAAGUAGAAGGCCAUUCAUUUAAGGUGUUUCAGGUACUCGAAUACUAGAAUGUCUUUGAAGUAGAGGAUGAACAAUGAUCACUUUUAAAAGAAUAGUAAACACCGAUAAGCCUGUGGGAUUUUUUUCUUCUUCUUUUUAGAAUAGGUGAGCCAUUGAAUAAAUUAUGUUAUAUGGGAUUGAAAAGCUUUGUUCAAUAUCCAAGCAUUGGUGGAAUAAAAUAUAAGACCUGUAACUGGGGAUCAAGAUUUGAGUUCAGUCGAACCCGUAUAAGCAUUCCUGAUUACAUGAUACACAGAAAAAAAAAAAGGAGAUAAAGUUUUUAUUCCCAGAUACACAUUUUGAACCCAUCGUGAUACUACCCUAUCAAAUAUUUCUGAGUCCCAAUACACCAAAGCUGAAUGAGAACAAAAAUUUACAAGGUUCAAGAAUUUUUGUGCCCUUGUUUAUGAGCAAUACCUUUGGAGGGAUUAUAUUCCUAGAGUUUAGACUAGCAGAAAAAUGCUCUCAUAAUCUGGUUGUUAACAUAUCGGCCUCAACAAAAUCCUGACUGCUGAGAAUCUGAUAAUGAGAAACUGGAACCAUUGUACCAUGCGUGUAGUAUGUCUGUAUCACGAGGAGUUGACAGAAUAUCUAUUUCUUUCAUAAUGAUUUCAUUAUCAUACUAUUUGGCUUAAGCUGCAGCAUUGGGUUGGUAUUCAUUCUUUCCCUGCCAAGACACUAGAUUUUUUGACAGAAUGGAGGGAGAGCUAGUUGGGAUGUUAUCAUUAUCAAUUAGUCAAUUACUUGGUGCAUUUGGCUUGAAAGAGAUGCCAGAGUAUUCAGAGAUUAGAGGAAAUCUCCCCAGAAGACCUGCAAAAACCAGAUACUUCUUGGUGAAGGAAGAAAAGAAUCUCUAAACUAGACACUGUUUUUAUGAUCCUUUAUAAUAUUGUAUCUGGUUAGCCUAGUGUAUCCUUGUUUAGAUAGUUAUCUAUUAAAUCUUAGUUAGGCUUAUUCUUGCUACUCUCUUUCCCUCAAAAUCCAGUUGGUAACAUAAUGCAUUCUUGUAUUAAAGGCCCAAAUGAAUCAUCUAUUCUUGUAUUGCAGUGCUGUGGUGACUCAGAAAGAUCGCUUCUGAAGUCAGAAAGCUGCUUUUCACCAUUGCCUUUGCUUCAUGAGAAAACAAUACACCACCUGAGUGACCAGUUUUGUUA